rnacentral:tRNA from 1 species
GGAAAAGUGGUCGAGUGGUUGAUGGCAUCGGUCUUGAAAACCGACGAUGUGAGAGCAUCCGUGGGUUCGAAUCCCACCUUUUCCG